rnacentral:rRNA from 1 species
GCCUAACACAUGCAAGUCGAACGGUAACAGGAAGAAGCUUGCUUCUUUGCUGACGAGUGGCGGACGGGUGAGUAAUGUCUGGGAAACUGCCUGAUGGAGGGGGAUAACUACUGGAAACGGUAGCUAAUACCGCAUAACGUCGCAAGACCAAAGAGGGGGACCUUCGGGCCUCUUGCCAUCGGAUGUGCCCAGAUGGGAUUAGCUAGUAGGUGGGGUAACGGCUCACCUAGGCGACGAUCCCUAGCUGGUCUGAGAGGAUGACCAGCCACACUGGAACUGAGACACGGUCCAGACUCCUACGGGAGGCAGCAGUGGGGAAUAUUGCACAAUGGGCGCAAGCCUGAUGCAGCCAUGCCGCGUGUAUGAAGAAGGCCUUCGGGUUGUAAAGUACUUUCAGCGGGGAGGAAGGGAGUAAAGUUAAUACCUUUGCUCAUUGACGUUACCCGCAGAAGAAGCACCGGCUAACUCCGUGCCAGCAGCCGCGGUAAUACGGAGGGUGCAAGCGUUAAUCGGAAUUACUGGGCGUAAAGCGCACGCAGGCGGUUUGUUAAGUCAGAUGUGAAAUCCCCGGGCUCAACCUGGGAACUGCAUCUGAUACUGGCAAGCUUGAGUCUCGUAGAGGGGGGUAGAAUUCCAGGUGUAGCGGUGAAAUGCGUAGAGAUCUGGAGGAAUACCGGUGGCGAAGGCGGCCCCCUGGACGAAGACUGACGCUCAGGUGCGAAAGCGUGGGGGAGCAAACAGGAUUAGAUACCCUGGUAGUCCACGCCGUAAACGAUGUCGACUUGGAGGUUGUGCCCUUGAGGCGUGGCUUCCGGAGCUAACGCGUUAAGUCGACCGCCUGGGGAGUACGGCCGCAAGGUUAAAACUCAAAUGAAUUGACGGGGGCCCGCACAAGCGGUGGAGCAUGUGGUUUAAUUCGAUGCAACGCGAAGAACCUUACCUGGUCUUGACAUCCACGGAAGUUUUCAGAGAUGAGAAUGUGCCUUCGGGAACCGUGAGACAGGUGCUGCAUGGCUGUCGUCAGCUCGUGUUGUGAAAUGUUGGGUUAAGUCCCGCAACGAGCGCAACCCUUAUCCUUUGUUGCCAGCGGUCCGGCCGGGAACUCAAAGGAGACUGCCAGUGAUAAACUGGAGGAAGGUGGGGAUGACGUCAAGUCAUCAUGGCCCUUACGACCAGGGCUACACACGUGCUACAAUGGCGCAUACAAAGAGAAGCGACCUCGCGAGAGCAAGCGGACCUCAUAAAGUGCGUCGUAGUCCGGAUUGGAGUCUGCAACUCGACUCCAUGAAGUCGGAAUCGCUAGUAACCGUGGAUCAGAAUGCCACGGUGAAUACGUUCCCGGGCCUUGUACACACCGCCCGUCACACCAUGGGAGUGGGUUGCAAAAGAAGUAGGUAGCUUAACCUUCGGGAGGGCGCUUACCACUUUGUGAUUCAUGACUGGGGUGAAGUC